rnacentral:ncRNA from 1 species
GAGAGCACAGUACGAUGAAAGUUGUGAGUUGUGUUCGGGGGGGAGUUAUUGUCUAUCGUUGGCCUCUAUGGUAGAAUCAGUCGGGGAGGUCUGAGAGACGGUGGUUUACCCUGU